rnacentral:rRNA from 1 species
CAGCCGCCGCGGUAAAACGAAGGGUGCAAGCGUUAAUCGGAAUUACUGGGCGUAAAGCGUGCGCAGGCGGUUGUGUAAGACAGGUGUGAAAUCCCCGGGCUUAACCUGGGAACUGCAUUUGUGACUGGCAAGCUAGAGUGUGGCAGAGGGGGGUGGAAUUCCGCGUGUAGCAGUGAAAUGCGUAGAUAUGCGGAGGAACACCGAUGGCGAAGGCAGCCCCCUGGGCCAACACUGACGCUCAUGCACGAAAGCGUUGGGAGCAAACAGGAUUAGAUACCCCCGUAGUCCCUGUCUCUUAUAC